ACCAUCAUAACUCCUCCAGAGGCUGAGGCAGGAGGAUCACUGGAGCUCAGGAGUUCACGAAAAAAGGGGAGACAGGAAAGUAGGAGAGAGACAAGCUAGGAAGAAGAGUGGCUCCGUGGGAGAGGGGAUCCCCAGAGAUCAAGAAGUCUCAGAAUACACUGUGGUCCCAACAGUUCUUGUGCACAAAACCUGCCUGAAGCCAACACAGAAAGAAAAUAGUAGCCUGCCUAAAACAACCUGCUUCUUUGUUCUGCCUCACCUUGGACCCAAAGUAACAGAUCCAGACAACCUUGGAAGGAGCCCUCUGAAACCAGUUCCUGACAGACAUGAGUGGAUGAAAACUUAUACCAGGGGGUGAACAGCAUGCGAUGCUAAGAGCUUCGGCUUCUCGGGACAAGGGAAAGCUUGGCAGAGGUGGUGAGGUUUGCACCUGUCCUGGAAGGGUGAGUGGAGAAGGAGAAAAGGUGACACUGUGGGAGUCAAGCAGGCGUGGAGAUGGCUGGAGCCAAGAAGUGUGCGCACCCAUCUACUAGAGGACAAUUAAGCCAGAUGCUGCCGGCCUCACCUUUGACACACCCUGCAGCAACUCCAGCCUUGCUGGAAGUGUUCCUGCUGGUGACAUCAUGCCAGAGCCGGCCAGUUCCACGAAUCUAAGGACACAGUCCUCGAUUGUCCUUUGAGCCAUGCCCAAGUGAGUGUCUGCUGCAUGGUCCCUGUCAGCACCAGUUGGAGCCACCAGGAGCUCAGCCAGGCUUAUGCCCUGGAUGCUUGGCUGCAUCAGCACACUCCCUUAGGGGAGUGGGAAUGCCAUGUCACCUACACUCAUCAUGACCUCCUUCCUGUUAGCUGACUCCCUGAGAACCAGUGAUAGAGGUGGUAACUGUAGGCACAGGCAUGGGGAUGAGUGGAACCAUGUCUUGUAGGGUCCCCACAGCCUCUCUUUCAUGAGGGGUCUACCCUGGAAUCUACCAGUCUCUGUCCCUGUGUGUCAUUGAAUCUCUGAAUGCAGGUCUUUCUGAUCUGUGCAUGAAGGACCUCCUUCUAGUCUAGAACCUUGGUGCUAAGCCUCCUUCUCUUUCCACCCCAAGUGACAUCAGCUUUAUACUUAAUGCAUGCAGGGAUUGCAUUUAGGAUAUGAGGGCACUCAUGCCAGCAAAGCAGGCUUCUUGGGUUCAAAUCCCAUAUCUGCAAUUUCCUGGCUAAGUCAUCUUGAGCAGAUAACCUGCCCUAGUUUCUAUACACACUUAUUGGACUAGCCUAGGACCUAGCAAAUGAUUUCUGGAAAAGGCCAAUGUUUCAAUUACUCAACUGUGUUAAUUCAGCUUUU